GGGAACCGCAAAAGGAUCAGAUGCGUCAGAGUCAAAGACCCAAGGAUUUCAACUCGCCUCAACGCCGUUGUUGGUGGAAUCACAAGGAAGCUUGUUCAUAAUCACAAAGAAACUUCUCAUCUUCAACCUAAUCGCCUCACAAGGGGAAGAGAAGCAUCAGAGAGAGAAGCAUACUCCUUUUUUUUUUUUUAUCUUCCUCCCACCUCCCAUUCCUUCUGUUUCAGUCACUAAAAAUUGAGAAUUUUGAUGAUAUAAUGAUGGUAAAACUGAAAUUUUCGGA